rnacentral:lncRNA from 1 species
AUGCUCUCGGGGAGAGCGCGCGGCUGUGGGCUCGGCUCCCCGCAGCCUCCCCGCAGCCUCCCCGGCCGGCGGCCCCGGGGCCCCCGCGCGAUCGCGGGCCCACGGCCGUCCCCGGGGGCGGGGGCCGCCGCGAGCCUCCCUGGUCCGCAGCCCCGAGCGCCGCCCGCCGCAUCCCUCCUCUCCUGGGCCCGGGGCCAGCCUCCCGUCCUCUCCCUCCCGCCGGCCCGCGGCCGAGCCCGCCCUGCGCGCCCGGGGCGCGGGGACCCCAGCCCGGCCCGCCCGCAGCGCCUCCCCGCCGGGCCCCUCCGCGGCCGAGCGCCCCUCUCCCCCGCCGCUCGGCCCCCGCCCCCGCCCGCGCCAGCCGAGCCUCCUCCGGACCGUCCGGUGAAAAGCCCACACGCGAGCGCCCCCCCGGGCCUCGGGGGCCUGCGGUCCUCCCCGGGGGCGGCUGCCCGGGCAGGUGGGCGUCAGGGCGCGCCCCCCGCGGCGCCCCGGGUCCCGCAGGGCGGCCGCAGCCCCGGCAGCCCCGGCCGCGCCGCCCCGGGUGCAGGCGCCCCCGCCCCCGCCCGCGCCCGCGCCCCCCGCCCGCGGUCCCCUCCGCGCGCAUCUCCCCGCGGGGAUGGCGAGCCCGACGCGGUCGCCCCGACCCGCGGCUCUCACCUCCUGGUUGCACAGCGGCCGCCGCAGCAGGAGCGCCCGCCGGCCGCCCACCCCGCGGGGCCCGGGACGCGGCGGGGCACGGGCUCGGGCGCCCGGAGCCUGCGGCGCGGCUACCUGGGCUGGAUCGCGCCCCGGGGCCGCCGCCGCCGCCGCCGCGGGAGCCGCAGGGCCGCCGCCGAGCGGGCCGCGGCAGGGACGGUCUGCAAACUCCCAGCCCUGGCGGGGCCGCGCACGUCCGCCCGCUCCAGCCCGGACGCGGCGGCGACGCUCCGCGGGCUCGGCGGGGCCGGGGGCGGGGGGCGCGGGGGGGCCUGCCCGCAAUUUCUUCCGACGCCCCCGAGCCCAACGUCCCCAACUUCUUCUCCCGGCUGCCGGGCUCGCGGCUCUGGGAGGCCGGGAUUCUGGCCGGGGACGCUCGGCAAACUCCCCGCCCUCCCAGGCGCAGCGCUCAGCCAAUUCGGAACGCCCCAGCCUCAGGGGCCGUCUGCAAAGUCUCAACCCCGUCGGAGAGGACUUCCAGCAACCUUUCAAUUCCGCAGCCCGGGGGGAGACAGCAGCAAGGGAGACAGGUUAAUCGCGGCCAUAAAUAAUAUUCCAGCUAGGUCGGGGGGGGUGGGGGGCGUGCCAGUGCUCAUACGACGAAGCAUCCUCCAGAGGGGUGCAGUCCAGGGGCCUCGAAGCACGGGGGGGGGGGGGGGGCUUCUAGCCAUGAGGCCCAGUGAGGCAAGACUGGGGUUUCACCCUUUUACAGAUGCGCGCAUCUUUAAUAAGUGCAGAGUUUCAGUUUCCUUCUUCAGAGAAUGGAUACAUAGCCAUGUGAGUCCGCCACUUAAUUUUCGUGACCUUGGAUGA